rnacentral:ncRNA from 1 species
AUUAUUUGAGGUGGUAAAUUUCGUUGCAACCACGCACCCUAUGGGUUAAAAGAGAUGCAGGGGCCGCGACGCCUGCCAAAUAAU